UGUUCCAACAACUCUUCCUGUGGUAGCUUCAGUUUGGUCCACACUGAAAUUUCUAGCCACACCAAAAUCUGCAAUCUUCGGAUUCAAAUCUUCAUCUAAGAGAAUGUUACCCGCUUUGAGGUCACGGUGUAUAAUGGUGAGUCGCGAAUCUUGAUGAAGAUACAAAAUCCCACGAGUAAUUCCCUCGAUAAUGUUGUAUCGUUUUGUCCAAUCCAGUUGACUACUCUUCUUAGGGUCUGGGAAUAUAGCAACUGAUUAGACUAUGAGAUCAUCAAGAACUAAGAUUUCGAGAAAAUAGGCCUAUGUAUGAUAUGUUUCUUACCAAAAAGGAAAUGAUCGAGACUUUUGUUAGGCAAAAACUCGUAGACUAAUAUCUUUUCUUCUCCUUUGACAGAAAACCCAAGAAGCCUAACAAGAUUCUUAUGUUGAAGCUUUGCUACAAGAAACACCUCGUUCUUGAACUCUUCUUCACCUUGUCCUGACAUUUUAGACAGCCUCUUCACAGCAACAUGUGUUCCAUUCGGUAACGUUCCCUGUCAAACGUAUGACCUUCACAUAAUUAUCGGAAUAUUUUUUGUUCGUUUUCACCGACUCUGUAACAUAAAUAAGUACGUAGAACAAAUAUUAUACCUUGUAAACUUCACCAAAUCCACCAUGACCAAGCUUGUUAGUAUUAUGAAAAUUACUUGUGGCAGCUUCAAUUGCUUUAAACUCGAAUUGAAGUGAACCUGAAGUUGUAAUAUCAUCCCCAGCUGCAGAACAAAUGUAUACAUGGCAUUAUACUUAAUAAAUUUCUCUCUCAAAUCCGUAGUCCUCUACCAUUAUAUGUCUUUCAAAAUAAUUUCUAGCAUUUUGAACUUAUGUUUUGAAAUCAUCUUCGUACCAAAACAUAAGGAAACUCACUAUCGGUUGUAAAUGCUUUGAAUGCUUCUCUUCUCUCCCAAAGAGCAUAUCCUAGGGCAAGCAAUACAACGGGAACAACGACAAUCGCCACAAUAGUUCCCGUAGAAAUCUUUUUACCAUCUGCAUCAACCAAAACCACCAAUAAAGGAACAAUUUUGGCACCAAAACAAGAACAGAGAACAGAGCAAAAACCCUCAAAUAAGGCUAGAUAUGGAUAGUUGACCCAAAAAAAAGGUUUGAUAUGUAUAUAAUCAUUUGAUCUAACAGCAACAAUGAGUACAAAACAUGAUGUUACCUUUCUCAAGAGCAAUAUUAUCGAAAAGGUCCAAGAACGGAUAAACCUCCCACCGAAUGAAACAGCUAGACCUAGAAAUAAUGCCUCCUUGUCUCCCACGGCAACAAGACCUAUACUCAAUCACGUUCUCUUGAAGACAAUGAGUGCAGUUUUCAAGAGAUACGUCUUUACUGCACUGCACAACACUGUAAACGUGGGAGAUAGACGACUCAAGCUUUCUUAUUCCGGCUGCGUAGGACAAAGAGGAAGCUUGAUCUAUCAAACCAAUCAUCAAAGCCUCCCAUGUAAUCUCUAGAUCUGUCAUGUUAGCCUGAACAUCUCUUGUAUAGUUCUCACUCCGUAGAAUCUCCAUACCAAGCGACCCGUAAAAUGAGCGGUUCGAGUAGCGUACAAGACAGAGUGUCCUGUCCAUCCUCCAGUCUAUACCUUCCGUCUGGUUAGUACAAUUCCGUAACAAUCUAGCAGAUGAAGAGAUGAUACAGUCAGAGCAAGAUCGAGCGUGAGUACCUGGGACACACAUCCCUAGACCGUACGCUCUGUUGGGAUCUUGUCCGGUCGAUGUUGUGUAGACGCCGUCAUUAGCUGUGACGUUAGAAGGAAGAGAAGAGAGCAUGAGUCGGCGGUUUAAGUCAUAAGUAUCAUUGGGUGUGAAAAAACCAGAUCUUUCAAAGCAUAUAUCUGCAGAAACAAGAACAGAGGUUAAGAGGACAAUCCAGAAGACGACUAACAAGUCGUCCAUCCUGGUCUUGUCUUGUCUCUUGUGUUUGAUUUUCCGAAUCAAAAACUUAAAUUCUUGAAAUUAAUUAUUUUAAAAUAUACUAGCUGUUGAUUUUCAUUUUCUUUGGCUGUACGUAAUUGACUAAUUGUCAUUGAUUAUUCUAUAUUUUAGACUCUGGAAGAUGAUCAGUCUAUGUCUAUGUCUGUCAAUUUCAGUGUGAUAUGACGUAAUUAAGACUUUCGGUUAACUUGGUUUUAUAAUUACCUAUUUAGUAUGAGUUUUUUCAAUAUACUUAAAAUCGAUUUAGUGUUUAAACAGCAAAUUGGUUAUAAUGAAAUUACUUUUUUAAAAUUUUGAUUUAUACUACUCAAAUCAGUUUGACACGUUUUAAAUUGCUAUAAAUCAAUUUAAAUCAAUCUAAAUUAGUUAAGUUAAAUAAUAAUGUUUGACAAAAAAAAGUUUAAUAAUAAUGUUAAUAUAACUUUAAAAUUUUAUAAUUUCUUUUGAUAUCUAUAUAAUUUUUACAAUUCACCAAUAUAAUAUUUAUUUUUAAAUUAAGAAAUUAAAAUAUAUAAUAUAAAUAUAAAAUAUAUGAAAGAUAAAUUAAUAAUUUGAUUAUGCUUAGCUCCAAAUAAUCCAUUUAGGUGAUGUUUGUUUGUGCAUCUGGAAAAUGCAACAGACAUAUCAAUAGAUAGACCUGCUCUCCCUACUCGUUCAUCCCUGCUUCGGAAGAAAAAUCCAGUUGGUCUAAGCUAAAGCUGUUUCCAUUUUCAAUAUUCUUUAUGUGCCCGGCAAGAAAGUUAAUAUAGUUUGGUUUCUGUAACGGCUCUAUGCAUGCUAUUUUUAUAGACUCGAAAUACUUAUUUUCUAGCUAUGCAAUUAUCAUGUGAUUUUUUAUAUGCUUUCGCCUCAUUUGCUUGGUAUCUUGACAGACAAGUGACUGAAAUAAAAAAUAUAUUUUACUAAAAUAUAUAACCAACCAAUUGAGAUGUUCAGCUCUGUUUUUCAAGCAUAUUAUUUCAACAACAGAAAGACGAUGGGCUUUAUCUCCAAUUUUCUCCGGAGGGAAAAGAAAGUAUAUUUCCAAGCAUAUGUUUUCAACAACAGAAACCGUCUGAAGAUUUUUCCAAGUGAUCUUUAUUGUUGUGCCAUAUAUCUCAACCAGAGUCCACUUUUCCACAAGUGAAUUUGAUGUUGCUGUUUUUUUUCUUCAUAUUGAUCUGUAUAGUUUAAAAGUACUAAUACAGGUACUUAACUUCUGUCUUGCACAAAUGUUCUCAAACCAAGACUAAUCAAGAGUUAAACAGAAAACCCCCAUUUGAAAGUAAGUAUAUUAUAUUAUGGUAACGGUAACAACGACUCCCUACUAAGAAUAGGUUGUCACUUAAGCUUAUGAAGAACACGAAACAGAGGACUGUUACAGAGCUUUCCUUUGUCAGCUUUUUUAACCUUUUUAUGAUUCAGAUAAUGUGUGUUUAGUUAGUAUAUCUGGUUCAAUUCAAUUAAAUCAGAAUUUGAAUCUUCUACGAUAACUAAUAUGAAUUAUCAUGGGAGACUAGAGAUCUUUCCUUCUGAACUAGCUGAUAUUAGGCUUUUGAAUCAAUAUUUCUUCAUCAAUCAUAAGUUUGUAAAAGACUAUACAUAUCAAACAUCAGCCUAGCUUUCAACGGGGACUAACACACGUAAUCGAUAUACUAGUAGACGGACCAGACUGCAAUCUCUCAUCUAAUGGGUUUGACUUGGAUCUGACCCUGAAGACAAAUCCAGGUGGUUGAGGAAUAUGCAACGUAAUGGAUGUAUUAGUGAGCAUACGAAAGACUGUAGACAUGGUUGGACGAUCUGUAGGAUUUUCUUGAACGCAUAACAAUCCAAUGUGGAUGCACCUAAACACUUCAUUUCUGUCAUAAUUCUCCUCCAUGGCCGGGUCUAUCAUUUCCAGCAAUGAGUCAUUGUUCCAAAGCCUCCAUACCUAUUCAAGUCAUUUAUCAAGAAAAUAGUGUUGACAUCCAUGAUCAUUGCUAAAACAAGUAGAGAGCUUGAGCUUGGCAUUGGAAUUUGUACUAACAUAUGUGACCAAGUUGCUUAUUGAGCCAUCUGUCUCGUUGAAGCUACUAUUCUUUUUUCCACAAAUAAUCUCCAUAAUCAAUACUCCGAAGCUAUACACAUCUGAUUUUGUGGAGAACUGUCCACUUGUCACAUACUCGGGUGGCAUGUAACCGCUAUAAAAUACAACUUUUUUAUCAACAACAACACUGAUAGGCAAAAUAUAAUUACUAUGAACAAUUACUUACAAUGUUCCAACUACUCUUCCUGUGGUAGCUUCAGUUUGGUCCACACUGAAAUUUCUAGCCACACCAAAAUCUGCAAUCUUCGGGUUCAAAUCUUUAUCUAAGAGAAUGUUACCCGCUUUGAGGUCACGGUGUAUAAUUGUGAGCCGCGAAUCUUGAUGAAGAUACAAAAUCCCACGAGUAAUACCCUCGAUAAUGUUGUACCGUCUUGUCCAAUCCAGUUGACUACUCUUCUUCGG
rnacentral:lncRNA from 1 species